rnacentral:lncRNA from 1 species
UCAGUGAGCUCUUCUGCCCAGGUGGGGCCCAUGGCCUUACACGACAUAGGAGCACGCAUUUCUUGAAGUCCUGCAAAGGUGAUGGUGGUCCAGACAGGAGAGGGUUCCUUCAGCCCAACAUAGCGCAGCUCCCAGCUGAAACUCGGAAGGCUGGUCAGGCCUCGAGGACUGCCCAGGCCACAUGAGGUGGGCAACAGGGGCUCUGGGGCAACCUGGGGGUCACGCUGGAGUUCUCCCUCUCUGGACAGUGGUGGGUGAUUGGGCCCACGCAGACAGGCCCCGGAGAUUCAGGACUGCACCCC